GAUGAACGCUGGCGGCGUGCCUAAUACAUGCAAGUCGAGCGAAUGGAUUAAGAGCUUGCUCUUAUGAAGUUAGCGGCGGACGGGUGAGUAACACGUGGGUAACCUGCCCAUAAGACUGGGAUAACUCCGGGAAACCGGGGCUAAUACCGGAUAACAUUUUGAACCGCAUGGUUCGAAAUCGAAAGGCGGCUUCGGCUGUCACUUAUGGAUGGACCCGCGUCGCAUUAGCUAGUUGGUGAGGUAACGGCUCACCAAGGCAACGAUGCGUAGCCGACCUGAGAGGGUGAUCGGCCACACUGGGACUGAGACACGGCCCAGACUCCUACGGGAGGCAGCAGUAGGGAAUCUUCCGCAAUGGACGAAAGUCUGACGGAGCAACGCCGCCUGAGUGAUGAAGGCUUUCGGGUCGUAAAACUCUGUUGUUAGGGAAGAACAAGUGCUAGUUGAAUAAGCUGGCACCUUGACGGUACCUAGCCAGAAAGCCACGGCUAACUACGUGCCAGCAGCCGCGGUAA
rnacentral:rRNA from 1 species